AGAGUUUGAUCAUGGCUCAGAUUGAACGCUGGCGGCACGCCUAACACAUGCAAGUCGAGCGGUAACAUGUUUAGUAGCAAUACUGAAUGAUGACGAGCGGCGGACGGGUGAGUAAUACGUAGGAAUCCUGCCCUUAAGCGGGGGACAACCAAGGGAAACUUUGGCUAAUACCGCAUAAUCUCUAACGAGCAAAGCUGCCGCAAGGUGGCACUUAAGGAGGGGCCUGCGUCCGAUUAGCUAGUUGGUAGGGUAAAAGCCUACCAAGGCGAUGAUCGGUAACUGGUCUGAGAGGACGACCAGUCACACUGGGACUGAGACACGGCCCAGACUCCUACGGGAGGCAGCAGUGGGGAAUCUUGGACAAUGGGGGCAACCCUGAUCCAGCGAUGCCGCGUGGGUGAAGAAGGCCUUCGGGUUGUAAAGCCCUUUAGGUUGGGACGAAGGUUGCUAUCGGAUAAUGGUAGUAACUUGACGGUACCAGCAGAAUAAGCACCGGCAAACUCUGUGCCAGCAGCCGCGGUAAUAC
rnacentral:rRNA from 1 species